rnacentral:rRNA from 1 species
AUGGCUCAGGAUGAACGCUAGCUACAGGCUUAACACAUGCAAGUCGAGGGCAGCAUGAACUUAGCUUGCUAAGUUUGAUGGCGACCGGCGCACGGGUGAGUAACACGUAUCCAACCUGCCGAUAACUCCGGAAUUAGCCUUUCGAAAGAAAGAUUAAUACCGGAUGGCAUACGAAUAUCGCAUGAUAUUUUAUUAAAGAAUUUCGGUUAUCGAUGGGGAUGCGUUCCAUUAGUUUGUUGGCGGGGUAACGGCCCACCAAGACUACGAUGGAUAGGGGUUCUGAGAGGAAGGUCCCCCACAUUGGAACUGAGACACGGUCCAAACUCCUACGGGAGGCAGCAGUGAGGAAUAUUGGUCAAUGGGCGAGAGCCUGAACCAGCCAAGUAGCGUGAGGGAUGAAGGCUCUAUGGGUCGUAAACCUCUUUUAUAUGGGAAUAAAGUUUUCCACGUGUGGAAUUUUGUAUGUACCAUAUGAAUAAGGAUCGGCUAACUCCGUG